UACGUAGGGUGCGAGCGUUGUCCGGAAUUAUUGGGCGUAAAGGGCUCGUAGGCGGUUUGUCGCGUCGGGAGUGAAAACACCGGGCUUAACUCGGUGCUUGCUUUCGAUACGGGCAGACUAGAGGCAUGCAGGGGAGAACGGAAUUCCUGGUGUAGCGGUGAAAUGCGCAGAUAUCGGGAGGAACACCGGUGGCGAAGGCGGUUCUCUGGGCCUUACCUGACGCUGAGGAGCGAAAGCAUGGGGAGCAAACAGG
rnacentral:rRNA from 1 species